UUCAAUACAACAAUACAACACAGACAUGACAUUGAACAUUCAAUACAACAAUACACAACAUAGACAUGACAUUGAACAUUCAAUACAACAAUAACACAACAUAGACAUGACAUUGAACAUUCAAUACAACAAUACAACACAGACAUGACAUUGAACAUUGAAUACAACAAUACACAACAUAGACAUGACAUUGAACAUUCAAUACAACAAUACACAACAUAUACAUGACAUUGAACAUUCAAUACAACAAUACAACACAGACAUGACAUUGAACAUUCAAUACAACAAUACACAACAUAGCCAUGACAUUGAACAUUCAAUACAACAAUACACAACAUAGCCAUGACAUUGAACAUUCAAUACAACAAUACAACACAGACAUGACAUUGAACAUUCAAUACAACAAUACACAACAUAGACAUGACAUUGAACAUUCAAUACAACAAUACACAACAUAGACAUGACAUUGAACAUUCAAUACAACAAUACACCACAUAGACAUGACAUUGAACAUUCAAUACAACAAUACACAACAUAGCCAUGACAUUGAACAUUCAAUACAACAAUACACAACAUAGCCAUGACAUUGAACAUUCAAUACAACAAUACACAACAUAGCCAUGACAUUGAACAUUCAAUACAACAAUACACAACAUAGCCAUGACAUUGAACAUUCAAUACAACAAUACACAACAUAGCCAUGACAUUGAACAUUCAAUACAACAAUACACAACAUAGCCAUGACAUUGAACAUUCAACGCAACAAUACACAACAUAGACAUGACAUUGAACAUUCAAUACAACAAUACACCACAUAGACAUGACAUUGAACAUUCAAUACACAACAUAGACAUGACAUUGAACAUUCAAUACAACAAUACAACAUAGACAUGACAUUGAACAUUCAAUACAACAAUACAACACAGACAUGACAUUGAACAUUCAAUACAACAAUACACAACAUAGCCAUGACAUUGAACAUUCAAUACAACAAUACACAACAUAGCCAUGACAUUGAACAUUCAAUACAACAAUACACAACAUAGACAUGACAUUGAACAUUCAAUACAACAAUACACAACAUAGACAUGACAUUGAACAUUCAAUACAACAAUACACAACAUAGACAUGACAUUGAACAUUCAAUACAACAAUACACAACAUAGCCAUGACAUUGAACAUUCAACGCAACAGGUACCUGUAGAUGGGGAGCGAUACUGAAAGUCGUCUCCACAAGCUCCGGGGUAAAACAACUAAACUAGCAAGCUUUUCAAUAUUGUAACAGUUUGAAUUUUAGCACGAGAUUUGCUCAUCACUGGAGUGAUAUUGUAUAUAAUCGGUAAAGAAAAUAUAUUUUUAAACAUUUGAGAAUGGAAUAAAAUAUUGACACUUUUUUAAGGUGAAUACGAUGUUUUGAAUAUCUGUGUAAUAUGUAGUAUUCACUGAGUAGAAACUGAUUAGAGUUUUGGGAUGAAUAAUUUAAAGUACUUUGAUUGGCUAUGAUCUAAUAAACUAUGAAGAAAUAAAACAUUACAUUCACCUCCACGUGACUUCGAGAUGGAUAUAACAUUUCAUAUUUCCAACAUCGGAUCGUAAAUAAAUUUUGAACAUCUGAAUCGAUUCCAUUCCUUAUCAUUUUUCGAUGGCCGAGAGAAAUUUCUUGUUUCUAAUCAUAUUGACUUAGAAAUUAUAUCAAUAUUUGUUUUUCAAUUGUUGAUGGAAUCUACAUGGUAAGUUCAAUUCUACAUUAUAUUUCUCAGUCCUAUUCAUUGAACAACGCUAACCUACCAUAUCCGCUAAAAGUAGUAAAUUACGUGAACUCAUUAAGUUUCAGGACCAUUCCCUACGUAUCGUGAACGGUCUGGGAGCCUCCCCGGGAGAAUGGUCAUGACAGGUGUCCCUCCAAUACUACAACCCCAGGACUUUUAUCAUAUUUGUGGAGGAUCUCUUGUCAGAGCAAACUGGGUUGUCACUGCUGCACACUGUGUUCAGUAGGUUGAAAUAUGCAAAUACAGAUGACUUGGUUAGGUCAGGAAUAUCGAAAACACUUUUUUCACAUCUUCCCUUCGUAUUACUGCAAUUAACAACUUGACAUAAUGGCAUCAACCUAAUUCAUAAAAUCUACCACAAUCAUGCACAUCUUUGAUGGUCGUAUAAUCUCAUCAGAACUGGAACAAACGAUGUGACGUCAAAAUUAUUGAUUUUUGUGGUCUUGAAUACAAAAGAGUUGCACAUCAUGGCAGCCUCUAUAUAUGGCGAAAAUUUCAAUUUGUAACGUUUUCAAAUUAGUAUUGAAGCUUAUCUAGGCCGCAUAUCAACAGAAUUAUAUGCAAGUAAAACUUUUUGUGCUGCCUUCCCCUUCAAUAUCAGUAUCAAUACUCCUUUGGAAAAAAAACCAUACGAAUUUGACCAGUCCUAACUGGGACUCGGACUUCGCGCGGCACUCAAAGUCUUUCCCCUGACGUAGGUCAAACGACAUCACACGUCAUCCCGAUGUUGAUUAAGGCCUAGACGCAUCAGUUUUUUUUAUAUACUAUAGUUGAAAUUAUUGAUGUUAAGGUUUAUAACUAAAUGUUCAAAUACAUGAUGAAGAUUGAU